AGAGUUUGAUCCUGGCUCAGAACGAACGCUGGCGGCAGGCUUAACACAUGCAAGUCGAACGGGCACCUUCGGGUGUCAGUGGCAGACGGGUGAGUAACACGUGGGGAACGUACCUUUCGGUUCGGGAUAACCCAGGGAAACUUGGGCUAAUACCGGAUACGUCCUUAGGGAGAAAGAUUUAUUGCCGAGAGAUCGGCCCGCGUCUGAUUAGCUAGUUGGUGAGGUAAAGGCUCACCAAGGCGACGAUCAGUAGCUGGUCUGAGAGGAUGAUCAGCCACACUGGGACUGAGACACGGCCCAGACUCCUACGGGAGGCAGCAGUGGGGAAUAUUGGACAAUGGGCGCAAGCCUGAUCCAGCCAUGCCGCGUGAGUGAUGAAGGCCUUAGGGUUGUAAAGCUCUUUCGGCGGGGACGAUAAUGACGGUACCCGCAGAAGAAGCCCCGGCUAACUUCGUGCCAGCAGCCGCGGUAAUACGAAGGGGGCUAGCGUUGUUCGGAAUCACUGGGCGUAAAGGGCGCGUAGGCGGCUUUAUAAGUCGGGGGUGAAAGCCUGUGGCUCAACCACAGAAUUGCCUUCGAUACUGUAUGGCUUGAGACCGGAAGAGGUAAGUGGAACUGCGAGUGUAGAGGUGAAAUUCGUAGAUAUUCGCAAGAACACCAGUGGCGAAGGCGGCUUACUGGUCCGGUUCUGACGCUGAGGCGCGAAAGCGUGGGGAGCAAACAGGAUUAGAUACCCUAGUAGUCC
rnacentral:rRNA from 1 species